GCCUACCCGACACUCUUUCCCUGUUGCACUACUAUGGGCCACUGGGAAGCAGUGCAAUGAUGAAAGGGCAUCGGUCAGGUC
rnacentral:pre_miRNA from 2 species